rnacentral:rRNA from 1 species
CGCGUAGGUGGAAUGGUAAGUUGAGGGUGAAAGCCCGGAGCUUAACUCCGGGUCUGCCUUCAAGACUGUCAUUCUUGAGUAUGGAAGAGGGAAGUGGAAUUCCCGGUGUAGCGGUGAAAUGCGUAGAUAUCGGGAAGAACACCGGUAGCGAAGGCGGCUUCCUGGUCCAUUACUGACACUGAGGCGCGAAAGUGUGGGGAGCAAACAGGAUUAGAUACCCUGGUAGUCCACACGGUAAACGAUGGGCACUAGGUGUUGGAGGGCUCGACCCCUUCAGUGCCGCAGCUAACGCAUUAAGUGCCCCGCCUGGGGAGUACGGCCGCAAGGUUGAA